rnacentral:misc_RNA from 1 species
AAAGAAACAGCGCUGCACCUGUUCUAAAGAAUGCCAGAGAAAUGCAAAAGGGACUCGAGCAGCGCGGUGGUCGGUGAGGUGUUUCUUCGCUGUGAUUUUGUUUUCUUCCUCUCGCUAAUGAUCACCGUUUGAUAGCCAGGUAGCCUUCCAUUGUCUCUCGCUCGCAAGAAUGCCGCUGGCGCAGCUUGUCGUCGCAACAACAAUAGCGGCGAGGUAACCGGGUCAGCUGUGGGAAACGCGACUCCCACAGGUCCGCUACGACAUGCAAGCCGAGUUCUACGUGCGAGCCACGGGCUCUUGAGUGCGGUGCCGGCUGAAAAUAUGCUCAAGAAACGCCGAUAGCGCACGCUGCAUCCACGGGUGUGGGCCACGGCCACAACAGGAUGCUCUUUGCUGGGCAUUCACAAUACAGCUCGGAGGCCAUUGCUGGUGGAAAGCGACAGCACCUGUCAGAAUGUAGCAUGCCGACCUGGUGCUGCAGUGCACGCCGUAUCCGGGUCAUCUUGGUCUGUUUCAUCGCUUUCAACGUUGUCAUACUGCUGCUUGCCGCCAUCAAUUCGGGUACCGUGUCUCGGGUGGGACGUGGUGGCGGGCUCUGGACUGAGCUGUGCCAACACUGUGGCGGCAGCGGCCAUGACCGUGAUGCUUCGUACCGAGACAUUGCCAUGGACAUCUUCCACUUGCCACUGCUCGAGAACGCGGACAUGGGCACACACUACUAUCCACUCCCAUCAGCUGGCAAUCCAGUUGGCAAGUGGUGCUUCCGCCAGGGAACACUGCCGCUUGCCGACUCUGAGAAGGCUGGAAGGUGUCUAUGUGCCAAUGCCUACUAUGGUACUGAUUGUGGGAUUCCGCAGGUCGUGUGGAAUUCAAGCUUCCUGGAAGCGGGAACAAGGCAGGGUGCCUGGGUCCGGCGUCGAGCAAAACCUAGGAGGCUCCUCAGCAUUUCCACAGUGACUGGACCAGCGCAACUAGACUUUCUGCGGCUUCAAAUUGCUUACUUACGGCCAAUUGUAGAUGUGUUUGUCAUUGCGGACAAAACUAACCGUUUGUUAGCCGACAUAGAACGCACUUUUGGUGGUCAAGAGGAGUACACUAAGAUUGUGUACCUACCCCUGAACAACCGCAAUAACUCAACAGCAACAGCAGAAGACAUGCUGCAGCACCUCUUUUGGAAACGCCUCUCUGACUUUCGUCUUGAUGAUCUUCUUGUCUGGGCAGACCUUACCACAGUGCCACUAGCAGAAGUACUUCUCUUCUUGAAGCUUUACGAUGGUUACUCAGAGCCUGUGUACUUGAAUGUUCGACAGCUGGCAUACAGUUUUCUGUGGAAGCAGAAGCCAGACUUGAAACUGGACAGCUUGGUGGAGCCAAAUCAAAGAUCACAAACUCCAUUCAUCUCAAGCUUUGCUGUCUUGAGUGUGUUGUGCCGAUACAACUUGACUUGUGCAAUGCCGCCCAAGACAGACACUUUUAGUGCAGCACAGCUCGACGCAUUUACAAAGAACCAUGGUUGGGCUAUACAGCAUUGGACAUUGGGAACAAGUGAAGAGCCUUCUGGCUGGAAUUGCAAAAACUGCAUUACUUUUCCAGAUUCUUCGUCAUUGUUUCCUGAGGGCAGCAUGAAUGGAUCUACAGUGACCAAUGAAGAGUGGGAAAUAACACUUUUGAAGAAAUUGAAGGAGAAUGGAUUCAGCCUCGAAACUGUGCAGCCUGUGGAUAAAAGUGAUAUGAGGUACCUCGCACCCCGAAUAUUGUUGGAAAGGCCAGGGUCGCUAUGGUACUUAGUGCCACUCCAUUUGAAAACCGAAAAGUGAUGUGCAAACCAGGAUUUCAUUUUUUAAAGCUCACCUCUUUACAGGCAGCAAAGCUGAAAGCGAAACUGACUUUCGGAGAUUACUUCUUAACUGAGAAAACUUUUGUCACUGAUUUUUUUGUUUGUCUUCACAUGACAUAAUGUUGUGGUUUGCUGCAAUAAUGAGCAUUUAGGAGGUGCAGUUUAUCACUAGUGUUAGUGAUACAGUGAACUUUUUUUGUCAAUGUUGUGAGUUGCUUGGAGUUGCAUCGAGAAUUGCAGUUAAAGUUUGACUGCUGAAAAGCCAUUUUCUUGGCAGUGAUACCAUACAUUUGAACAAGAAAUGACAAGCUAUCUUGUGUUACCUUCACAGUUAAUUUCUUUGUUAGAAAUGUAUGCAAGCGAGUGUAUUUGGAGCUCUGUAGUUGUGCUUUCUUAUGAAUUAUCUUGAUGGUGAUGUCUUCAGUUGGGCAGAGUCAUAUUUCUGCUUUAACUAAGGAGUGCCUUCAACUUGUGAGCUGCAUGGAAGGUCCCUAGUGUGAUUAUCUGGUCAUAGCAGGAGCAUCCAUGUUAUAGUUCUGUGCACCGGUGAAACCAAAAAUUGUUAAGUGUGAUAUAUCUUACGUGCACACUUAAGUGCAGAGUGUUUUCUUGUUGCAUUAGACCUAUUGUGAUAGGUGAUUAUUGCCUGUCAUUUAAGUACUGAGAAACUAGAAUAUAACACCAGGCUGCUGUGCCAGUGCUUCCCACCAACACAUUAUUCUAUUUUUCAUUGUAGCAUUAUAUAGUCUGUUGAUGUACUGUUAUUUUGUCAUGCUAAGAAUAGCCACCUCAAUGACAGUGUGACAGGUAUUUGGCAUUAUGGUUAGAUGUUUGCAGUUUAUCAGCAUGUUCAGUCUUUUCUGUUUCAUAAAAGAAUAUUUCGUUUGCUUAAAUGACACUGCAGGGGUGGUAUAGCAGUUUAACACUUAAGUCAGAUAACAUGGGUUUUCGUAAAUUCUGUGCUGUGGUGAUAUGUACAUACUUGAGGCAACAGUAAGAUGUGACUACCUUAUAUGUUGAAGUCUUUCAUACUGUAACAUCCCUAAUUGCAAAUUUUCUUAUGUCUUCGGAGAACACAAAUUGUUUCUAAGGCCAUGCUGCCAAAAUAUCGCAUUUGUUCAUUGGUGACAUCGUUUUGUACUGUAAGCAUCACAUUUUGACACACCAGUUUCCAAAUGCAUCUGCAAUGUAACUUGAUUUUUAUGCUGCCUUGUUUGAUGGUGGAUAUUGUAUUGUAUCUUGGUGGGACUGCAGCAGUAAUUAAUUUUAAAAUGGCUUGUUAUGUGUAAUAUACAUGCUUGGCUGAGCUGCUGCCAAAAAAGGGGUGUUUCACAAAAAACUUUUAUUUCUUACAUAGAGGGAAGCAUUUGAACAAUAAUGAGGUUCUAAUGAAAACGUGUAUAUUCAUAGAAAAUGGCUGGGCUUACACCAACAAAAUGACUCUACUUUUUGUUAUUGGUAGCAAGGACUGAGAUGAGUCUAUCUUGUGAUAGGGGGCAUGUUUGUGACAGAAGUGAGACGAAAACAUAGCUCUGGGCUGCAAGAUUACGCUUCAUGAAGUUGCAUUUAAAAGUUGAGCAUUUAAUGGGAUCUAACUAAACUUAUGGUGAAUCUGGGGGUGAAAGGCUUCCUAAAGCAGCUAGAAAAAAGUAUGUUUUGGGAACAUGCAAAACUGAGUGACUAAGUAAAAGACUGCAAAAACUACAACCAAACUUUUAUUUAAAAACAUGACGUUAGGAGUCAGACCAGCUCGUCCUUCAGGGGUGAGAUGGCAAGGAGUACAGCAGUGCUUAUAUGUAUUUGUGGUGGUUAGGCAGGCUUGCGGUGGCCUUGUGCAAAUCUUGGAAAUAUAGAGCAGGAAAAUGAGUUGUUGUUGUCCUUUGUUUUUAUCAAAUGUGCCGCGACUGCAAACAAAAGGCUGCCUCUGAUGGUUGUAUUAAGCGCAAGCUUUCCACACGCCUGUCUAGCCAUGACAAAGGCAUAGAAGCACUGCUACAGCUUCUUGCCCAUGAAGGAGCCAGUCUGGCUUUGAAGCAGCGGGAUUUAAAAUAAAAUAUUGGUCGGGGUUUUCUCAGUCUUUCAAUCGACUGUUCCCUACCAGGCAGAUGGGAUGAUCUGAGAUAGGAUAGAUCUGUUGGAUGUCUAUCUUUUAUCCUUAAAAUUAGGUAAUACUUGUUUUAGUGCACUUGUUAUGCCACAAAAGGAGAACACUUAUUAAAGUGUGGGAGGUCUUUGUAUGAAACAGUCUUAGAGCUUCCUUUUCUAGCAGUAUUAAGAUCUCAAAGACAAAGUUGUGUAUCCUCCAAGAUGGAAGCUGUGGUGCCGG